rnacentral:lncRNA from 1 species
GCUACCUGCUGAGGCAGACAAGGAGAGGGUUUCCUGUGAUGGGAUCAGUCAGAUGCCUGCCUGGCCACUCCCCCUGAGGGGACCUGGGCUCCUCUUACCAUUGGCAGGCCGGUAUAAACUUGCGGCUCAGAUCAAGCUAUGCCUGAUGCUGCCUUAAGCCUUAUGAGGUCGCCAAGGAACCGCAGGUGAGGAUUCAGGAGAUAAUUCUGCAAACAGAACUUCCUGAGAACUGAGAUGGGGGAAAUCGCUGGUAUUAGAAGAGUGAAAAGGAACUCCUGGAGGGCAGAGGCAUGCCUGCCAUCUUCAUCAAUGCAUUACCACCACCCAACACUAUCGGGGGACCUGCCCUGAUAAUCAGGCUACAGGUGAAUCCAGCAGCUCCAGAGAGACAGCGACCAGCGAGAAGGGGCCAUGAUGAUGGUGGUGGUUUUGUCAAAACGAAAAGGGGGAUAUGUAGGGAAAAGAAAGAGAGAUCAGACUGUUACUGUGUCUACAUAGAAAGGGAAGACAUAAGAGACUCCAUUUUGAAAAAGACCUGUACUUUCAACCAUUGCUUUGCUGAGAUGUUGUUAAUCUGUAGCUUUGCCCCAGCCACUUUGCCCCAACCACUUUGACCCAAUCUGGAGCUCAUUAAAACAUGUGUUGUAUGAAAUCAAGGUUUAAGACAUGUAGGGCUGUGCAGGACGUGCCUUGUUAACCAAAUGUUUGCAAGCAGUAUACUUGGUAAAAGUCAUCACCAUUCUCUUGUCUCAAUAAACCAGGGACACAAUGCACUGUGGAAAGCCGCAGGGACCUCUGCCGUUGAAAGCUGGGUGUUGUUCAAAGUUUCUCCCCAUGUGAGAGUCUGAAAUAUGGCCUCGUGGGAUGAGAAAGACCUGACGGUCCCCAAGCCCGACACCUGUAAAAGGUCUGUGCUGAGGUGGAUUAGCCAAAGAAGAAAGCCUCUUGCAGUUGAGAGAGAGGAAGGCCGCUGUCUCCUGCCUGCCCCUGGGAACUGAAUGUCGCGGUAUAAAACACGAUUGUACAUUUGUUCAAUUCUGAGAUGGGAGAAAAACCGCCCUAUGGUGGGAGGCGAGACAUGUUUACAGCAAUGCUGCCUUGUUAUUCUUUACUCCACUGAGAUGUUUGGGUGGAGAGAAACAUAAAUCUGGCUUACGUACACGUCCAGUCAUAGUACCUUCCCUUGAACUUCAUUAUGACAUAGAUUCUAUUGCUCA